GAGUUUGAUCAUGGCUCAGAUUGAACGCUGGCGGCAGGCCUAACACAUGCAAGUCGAACGGUAACAGGAAACAGCUUGCUGUUUCGCUGACGAGUGGCGGACGGGUGAGUAAUGUCUGGGAAACUGCCUGAUGGAGGGGGAUAACUACUGGAAACGGUAGCUAAUACCGCAUAACGUCGCAAGACCAAAGAGGGGGACCUUCGGGCCUCUCGCCAUCAGAUGUGCCCAGAUGGGAUUAGCUAGUAGGUGGGGUAACGGCUCACCUAGGCGACGAUCCCUAGCUGGUCUGAGAGGAUGACCAGCCACACUGGAACUGAGACACGGUCCAGACUCCUACGGGAGGCAGCAGUGGGGAAUAUUGCACAAUGGGCGCAAGCCUGAUGCAGCCAUGCCGCGUGUAUGAAGAAGGCCUUCGGGUUGUAAAGUACUUUCAGCGGGGAGGAAGGGAGUAAAGUUAAUACCUUUGCUCAUUGACGUUACCCGCAGAAGAAGCACCGGCUAACUCCGUGCCAGCAGCCGCGGUAAUACGGAGGGUGCAAGCGUUAAUCGGAAUUACUGGGCGUAAAGCGCACGCAGGCGGUUUGUUAAGUCAGAUGUGAAAUCCCCGGGCUCAACCUGGGAACUGCAUCUGAUACUGGCAAGCUUGAGUCUCGUAGAGGGGGGUAGAAUUCCAGGUGUAGCGGUGAAAUGCGUAGAGAUCUGGAGGAAUACCGGUGGCGAAGGCGGCCCCCUGGACGAAGACUGACGCUCAGGUGCGAAAGCGUGGGGAGCAAACAGGAUUAGAUACCCUGGUAGUCCACGCCGUAAACGAUGUCGACUUGGAGGUUGUGCCCUUGAGGCGUGGCUUCCGGAGCUAACGCGUUAAGUCGACCGCCUGGGGAGUACGGCCGCAAGGUUAAAACUCAAAUGAAUUGACGGGGGCCCGCACAAGCGGUGGAGCAUGUGGUUUAAUUCGAUGCAACGCGAAGAACGUUACCUGGUCUUGACAUCCACGGAAGUUUUCAGAGAUGAGAAUGUGCCUUCGGGAACCGUGAGACAGGUGCUGCAUGGCUGUCGUCAGCUCGUGUUGUGAAAUGUUGGGUUAAGUCCCGCAACGAGCGCAACCCUUAUCCUUUGUUGCCAGCGGUCCGGCCGGGAACUCAAAGGAGACUGCCAGUGAUAAACUGGAGGAAGGUGGGGAUGACGUCAAGUCAUCAUGGCCCCUUACGACCAGGGCUACACACGUGCUACAAUGGCGCAUACAAAGAGAAGCGACCUCGCGAGAGCAAGCGGACCUCAUAAAGUGCGUCGUAGUCCGGAUUGGAGUCUGCAACUCGACUCCAUGAAGUCGGAAUCGCUAGUAAUCGUGGAUCAGAAUGCCACGGUGAAUACGUUCCCGGGCCUUGUACACACCGCCCGUCACACCAUGGGAGUGGGUUGCAAAAGAAGUAGGUAGCUUAACCUUCGGGAGGGCGCUUACCACUUUGUGAUUCAUGACUGGGGUGAAGUCGUAACAAGGUAACCGUAGGGGAACCUGCGGUUG
rnacentral:rRNA from 1 species